rnacentral:misc_RNA from 1 species
GGAGACCUUCGCGUGGAUGUACUAUUACUGGUACCUUACCAACGACGGCAUCGAGUUCCUCCGCACGUACCUCAAUUUGCCGUCUGAGAUUGUGCCAGCUACGCUGAAGAAGUCGGCGAAGCCGCCUUCUCGUCCGUUUGGAGCUGGGCCGCCUGGUGACCGCCCGAGGGGGCCGCCGCGGUUUGAGGGUGAUAGGCCGAGGUUUGGAGAUAGGGACGGGUACCGCGGAGGACCGAGGGCUGGAGGCGAUUUUGGGGAGAAGGGUGGUGCUCCUGCGGAGUACAAUCCUGGCUUUAGGGGUACUGGGGGCAGACCUGGAUUUGGUCGUGGCGGUGGUGGUGCCUUUGGGGCUGGUCCUGCUUCUUCCCUUGAGCAGUAGGUUUUGGCCAUAUUUCCAUUUUAUGGGUUAUAUUUUGAUCUUUCUGAAACUGUGUAGUGGCUAGUUUCAUUUAAUCUUCUUCACUUGGAUGAGAUUUGUGUUGAGGCUAGUUGUUUCUUUGAUGUUCUAGACAUUCCCUGUUUUUCGACUCA